GUGUCAGCAGCCGCGGUAAUACGGAGGGCGCUAGCGUUGUUCGGAAUCAUUGGGCGUAAAGCGCGUGUAGGCGGCUUGGCAAGUCGAGUGUGAAAGCCCGGGGCUCAACCCCGGAAGGUCGCUCGAAACUGCCUCGCUCGAGUCCCGGAGAGGAAGGCGGAAUUCCCGGUGUAGAGGUGAAAUUCGUAGAUAUCGGGAGGAACACCAGCGGCGAAGGCGGCCUUCUGGACGGUGACUGACGCUGAGACGCGAAAGCGUGGGGAGCAAACAGGAUUAGAUACCCUGGUAGUCCACGCCGUAAACGUUGGGUGCUAGGUGUCGCGGGUAUUGACCCCUGCGGUGCCGCCGCUAACGCAUUAAGCACCCCGCCUGGGGAGUACGGUCGCAAGGCUAAA
rnacentral:rRNA from 1 species